GAUGAACGCUGGCGGCGUGCCUAAUACAUGCAAGUCGAGCGAACAGACGAGGAGCUUGCUCCUCUGACGUUAGCGGCAGACGGGUGAGUAACACGUGGAUAACCUACCUAUAAGACUGGGAUAACUUCGGGAAACCGAAGCUAAUACCGGAUAAUAUAUUGAACCGCAUGGUUCAAUAGUGAAAGACGGUUUUGCUGUCACUUAUAGAUGGAUCCGCGCCGCAUUAGCUAGUUGGUAAGGUAACGGCUUACCAAGGCGACGAUGCGUAGCCGACCUGAGAGGGUGAUCGGCCACACUGGAACUGAGGCACGGUCCAGACUCCUACGGGAGGCAGCAGUAGGGAAUCUUCCGCAAUGGGCGAAAGCCUGACGGAGCAACGCCGCGUGAGUGAUGAAGGUCUUCGGAUCGUAAAACUCUGUUAUUAGGGAAGAACAAAUGUGUAAGUAACUAUGCACGUCUUGACGGUACCUAAUCAGAAAGCCACGGCUAACUACGUG
rnacentral:rRNA from 1 species